UCUUAUCCGCCACUUUUCCCACCUAUAUACAUCCUUACUGUUCACUUCUUUCUUUUUUUGAGAUCCCCUUUUCAUUUCCUGCAUCUUCUAUUUCUUAUUUUACUAACCUCCUCUCCUGAGCCUUGAUUUUGAAAGCCAAGCCAACUCAAGAGCAAGAGCUUCUGUGCCCCUUCAUGCUUCUUUCGACGGUGAUUUAGGGCUUUCAUGCAGUACUUCUCUCAUUGAUUCAUCUAUUGUAAAAACUCAAUCCCUUCAUAGAGGUAUUAAUUCCUCCUUAUUGUGCAUAGGUGACAUACUUUUCUCACCAUGGCCAUUUUUUAUAUACUGUGUUCUACCAAUUUUACUGUGACACCAUGGUUCAGGCAACGUUGUCUGAGCAUUUCAUCAUAGAUUCAGCACUUCCUGAUUUGAAGAUAUUUAAUAAUUUGUUGUGGAUUCAUUCUUUGAGUCCAAGAAAGUUGCAAAAGAAGAGUCCAAGCAAGUUGAAGUAGAAGAAGAAGAAGAGAGUUCUAGUAGUAGCCGCCACAGGGAGGAGUAUGCCUCAAAUGGGGAUCUCAUUAUCUAUUAAGUGAUUAUUUUAAUUUUUGCUUUAGAAUUUUUUGUCUUUCUUAUUGGAUGAUUUAUUUUUGUCUUUCAUUUUUUUCUUUUAGCUUACCAAAAAAAUGACUGGUUACACUGCAAGAAUAUAAUGGCACCUCAUUGGUCUCAAUUAGGGAAUAUUUUAGAAGAGAUGGGAAGGAGUUUCCACCACCAAAGUAUUUUCUUUCUUACUUUUUGUACAUAACAUCCAUAUAUAUAUACAGUUAUUAGUUGGGGUUAGUUAUUUAAUUUUUUGUUUGUAUUUUAUCUGAAGGUAUUAGUUUGCUAAUUGAUAAAUGGGAAACUUUGAAAAUGCCAUUCCAACAAUUGACAAGGAUUUUGAAAAACUAGAAUACUAGAUGGCUUCGUAGUAUUUAUUUCAGAUAUAUAAUAAAAUAAAAAUUUGAUUGCUAUAUUAUUUUAGAGUGUAUCCCUAUAGGAAAGAAUGUGGUAUGCUUAUAAGGAUUUGUCAUUAUCAUCAAAUCAUAUUUUUAUUGAUUAAUCAGUAAAACAUUAUUAUUGUUGCAAUGUUUAUUAUUUUGAUUUUCUCAUGCAGGAGCAGGCUUAAAAGUAAUAAACAUUGCUAUAUUAUUUUGUUUAUUAUCUUAAAGCCUUUUUGUAUCAGUUUUAGUGUAGUAUGUGGAUGUUUUGACUCAUGGAUUGUCUCAAUUUUUGCACUCCUAAUGUUGAAGAUUUUGUUAUUUAUUUUUAAUUUUUUAAUGAACACUGCUAAAAAUCUGGCUAAAGUGGUAAGUCAUGUGUCACAUUCAUCAUUUGCUGCACAUUUUUUUUUUACCAGGCCCAUCUAGACCUUUUUUGGUUGUAUGGGUGCUUCAUAUUUUUUUUUGUCAAGAAUGCGUGACUCACUAUACAAGUUUAAUGUGUUUCAAAUAUAAAAAUUUAUUUGCUAAAAAAUAUAGUUGAUUGAGGGAUUCAACUUCUAUUCAAAUUGAAAUAAUUGAAAAAUAUUACUUUGGAUUUCUGUCUGGGUUGUGAGGUAAUGCAACACUUAUUUUGUUUGUGUUCUUGAAUUGUUUGUGUUCUUGAAUGGCAGGAGAUGGAGGAGGAGAUUUAAUUUAUGCUUUCAUAAAACUCAUGUGAGAAAGUUGACUUAUUUUUAGCAGGAGUAUAUGGGAGAUGAUUGGACUCAUACAUCAUGAUUCCAUGGUAUUGGGAAUGUAUGCCACUGAAGGGCAAAGGACUAAUACUGACAAAAGACGAGAGCAGUACAGAAAGAGUGAUUGGAACCAAGUUAAGAACAACUCUACUAAAUGAAACAGGUUCUUUGAUAGUAAGUGUAGAGGGAGAGCAAUUGGACACCAUGGAAGAUCAAGGGAAAUGGCAUAGGACCCAUUCAAAAUUAUGUUCACUCCACUCUUGAGUAUUCUCAAUCAAGUAUAGUGCACCCAUCAGUUACAGCAAACAACUUUGAGCUUAAGCAUGCGUUUGUAUAGAUGGUUCAGAAUUCAAUACAGUUCCAUGGAUUAUAAAAUGAGGAUCCUAACAAUCAUAUUGGGGGAUUCCUCGAAGUAUGUGACAUGCUGAAGAUUAACAAUAUUUCUGAUAACGACAUUAGACUUGGCUUAUUCCCAUUUUCACUAAAUGGAAGAGCUAAAUAGUGGAUUCAGGUUUUUCCUCGAGCAUCUAUCAUGACUUGGGAACAACUUGUUGAAGCGUUCUUGGAUCAUUAUUGCUGUCUAGGAAGAAUGACCAAGCUGCGUCAAGAGAUUACAGCUUAUGCAUAGAUGGACAGUGAAUUAUUAUUUUAAGGCGUGAGAGAGAUAUAAAGACUUGUUAAGGAAAUGCCCACAUCAUGACCACCCUGAGUGGAUGGAAGUUUAGAUUUUCCAUCAAGGAUUUAAUCAGAGUACCCGACAACUUAUUGAUUCGGUAGUGAGAGGAUCACUUGGUAAUACGACCUCAGAGGCAACCAAGCAGUUAUUUUACGAAAUAGCCAUGAACAAUUAUCAAUGGAAUUUGAGAGGCAAAUUAGUAUCGAACCAGCUGGGAUGAUCGGAGAUAGUGAAGUCAUAGUACUAGCAACCCAGAUGGAAGCCUUAAGCUGAAAGAUUGACAAUUUGUCUACAAAGAAGCCAGCUACAUCAUGGCGUAUAAUACUUGUGGGGAGGACAUGACUUGAUAGAUUGUUCAAUUAUUAGAGCGGCACACAGACUCACCGAAUAGGUAGAUUUUGUUGGUAGUGCCUUCCGACAACAAGGGAACCCCUACAGUGGCACAUACAACCCAGGAUGGCUGAAUCACCCCAAUUUCUCUUGGAAAAAUCAAGAGCAGUAGCAGAAGCGCUGCCAGGAUUCCCUCCUCACCAAUAAAAUAACAAGAGACCAGCAUUGGAGGAAGUACUCGCUCAGUUUAUUCAGAGUACAGAUAUUAAGUUCCAGCAGUUAGACAACCGCUUCCAAAGCAUAGGAACGGGUAGAUUGCCAAACUAUUAUUUGAACAGACUCAAGGAAGCUUACUGAGUAACACUGAAGCCAAUCCCCAUGAACAUCUCAAGGCAAUUACUUUUCGAAUUGGUAAAGAAAUGGGAACAGGUAGUGAAAAGGUGAUGGAGAAGGAAAAUGAGCUAGAAAUUGAAGUUAUUGAGAGUCCGGUAAGGGAAAGCUAGACUACCCCAAAUGUUGAGAAGAGAACACCAUCACCGGUGAAGGAGUACGUUCCCUAUCUACCUUACCAUCAAGAUUAAAGAAUCAUUAUACGGAUGAACAAUUAAAGUGAUUUCUGGAUUUGUUGAAGCAAUUGCAGAUCAAUGUAUCAUUUGUUGAAGCCUUGUCUCAAAUGCCAUAGUAUGCAAAGUUCCUCAAGGACCUAUUAACGAACAAGUGGAAAUUUGAGGAGGUAUCAAUGGUAACAUUGAUCGAAGGGAGUUCGGUGUAGCUUCAGAACUGACUACCAAGGAAACAAAAAGAUCUGAGGAGUUUUACUAGCCCUUUUAACAUUGGUGAAUUAGUAAAUGAAAAAGCCCUAGAGGAUCUAGGUGCUAGUAUUAAUGUGAUGCCUUACACCAUGUUUAAGAGGCUUAGACUUUGUGACCUUAAACCAACUAGGAUGGCAUUGUAACUAGUGGACCGCUCCAUUAGACAUCCUAGGGGAAUUAUAGAAAAUGUUUUAGUUAAGGUUGACAAAUUUAUUUUCCUGGUAGAUUUUGUGAUUUUAGAUGUAGAUGAAAAUGUUGAAGUGCCCCUCAUUCUUGGUAGGCCAUUUCUAGCCACCUCACAAGCCCUCAUUGAUGUUAAUAAUGGUAAAAUGACAAUUAGUUUCGGGGAUGAGGAAGUCAUGUCUGCUUUAUCUGAUGCAAUGAAGCAUCCUUCUACUUUUGAUGAUACUUAUUAUUUUCUUGAUAAAACUAAUUUGAUUGUUGAUGAAUAUGUGCAGGAAAUCUUACACAAUGAGCCUUUUGAGGAGUCAUUGGAUGCCCCUCAUAUUGAAGAGACCACCCCUUUUCUUACACCAACCAUAAUUGAGGAGAACAUGAGCGAAAAGCAUAGGUGUGAGGUCACUUUCCCAAGAAAGUCAAGAGAAAACCUUCGCCCAAGAUGGUAACCCCCGAAUCGGUCAACUUUAUUGAUGGUUAGAGUAAAGAGAGCAGCUUCUAGGCCGGCCAAGAGGAAGAGACCCGAGGCAUCCACCUCGGGUACAAUACAGUUGCUGCAAAGGAAACAUCGGCUCUCUCGACUCUUUUAGCCCCUACUUGUUCUGAGGUUCUCUUUCAAGAAUGGUUUGCCAGCUUGAGAAUGAAAUGGUUUGGCUAAUUUUAUACGAUGGAUUGGCCUGUACUAUCACAAGUAGGGCUUGAGGACAAGGUCAUGAGGAUAAUGCAGAUGGGUGACUGGAGCUGAUUAUUUUCAAUAUAGGAGCAGGUGUACAGCGACACCACCCUCGAGGUCCUCAGCACAUUUUAAUUAGACUAAGGAUUGAUAGGUUUUGCCUGUCUAGGAGUGAUCCGAUUCCAGCUUUUGAGGGAGCAGCAGACGCAGACACACACAGAGUUCGUUCUAAUGAUGGGGUUUUAUGACACCAAUUUUACUAGCACCCCACAGUAUGAAGAACUCUUCAUCGAUUUUCCUCCUAGCGUCACCUCCAAAAGAGUAUAGAAAUAUCUAAGUAUAGGCGGGAGGUACGAGCCGGGUCUAACGAAGGCCUCAUUUCUUAUCCGGCCAACUCUCAAGUAUGUAUAAGCUAUCAUUAACAGAUCCUGUACAAGGUGAGGAGAUAGCACCGGAGUGGUGGGGUGGUAGGAGCUCUUAUUCCUAUUGAGUCUGGUUGAAUGUCGGCCCAUCCACCUAGGCUACGCCUUGGCAGAUUUCAUCUCUCACCAGGACUAGCAUGUAUGCCUAGGUGCGAUCUUUGCUAGUCCAUACAUUACACGGCUCAUUAGGGUAUAGGAAUGGGAGAUCGGCUCUAGGGUAGGGGAAUGGACAUGUUGCGUCUUAUGGGGAUGGUCGUCUGCCGCUACUCCAAAUGGGUCGCCACCCCUAGCAGGACAGAGCAGCCACCUAAGGUGGGUGAGGCAGAAGAUGAGGAGUCGGAUGAUGAGUCCGAUAGUGAGUUAUCCUUACCAUCAGCCAUUGCACUAGUGAGUGUAGCCAGUCCGUAGUAACACAUUCUCGAUGACGGUCGAAGAUUCAGGAGUUGUGAACUGAGAUACGACAGCUGCAAGAGGGCCAGCAAACCAUCCUAGAGACCUAGGCAUGGCUCGAGGCCGACCUUGGCCGUGCACUAGAUCUACUCUCACGGCUGGUCCCUUAUCUAGUUCCAACCCCUCCGGCAUCGACCCCUCCAUCAUCACCGCAUUCGCUGACCGAUUUAGCUCCAUCAGAUACCGCCAAGCAUUAGCUUUAUUUUGUUUUAUUUCAUUUUGUGUUUUAUUUCAGACUUUGUAUUCAUCAUUUAUGGCAAGGGUUGGCUCUGCCUAGUUUAUACUUAUUUUGAGACUUUUAGUGGAUUUUAUCUUCUGUUUUUGUUACUUUGUUUUGUUAAGCUUUA